rnacentral:rRNA from 1 species
AUCACCUUUAGAUGCGAUUUUGUGGAGUGUGAGGAGCUAAUCGCCUUCAUACCUGUAUAUUCGUGUACUUGGGGUGUACUUAUUCGUGGGGUAAGUUAACAUCAAUUUUGGUGGUCAUAAAAUGACUGGAGGAAUGUAGCUUCGAUCUCGUAUUGAAGUGUUAUAGCCUUCGGUAGAUGUGAUGAUCGAGAUUGAGGAUUGCAACGGAUACCCUUCGGGGCUACCUGUCUGGUCUCUGAUUGUUGCUCUGGUGCCGAAAGCUUGCUUACGGUUAUCAAAGUCGAUGGUCAAUAGGUUAGAACGGGUUAAAUUCGUUAAGGAUGUUGACGUAAUGGCUUU